rnacentral:rRNA from 1 species
GACGAACGCUGGCGGCGCGCUUAACACAUGCAAGUCGAGCGAGAACCCAGGCUUCGGCCUGGGGGAAAGCGGCGAACGGGUGAGUAACACGUGGGUAAUCUGCCCUCGGCAUCGGGAUAGCCCGGGGAAACCCGGAUUAAUACCGGAUGGCCCGACAGCUCUUCGGAGCGGUCGGAAAAGGUAGCUUCGGCCUCCGGCCGAGGAGGAGCCCGCGGCGGAUUAGCUUGUUGGUGAGGUAAUGGCUCACCAAGGCUCCGAUCCGUAGCUGGUCUGAGAGGACGAUCAGCCACACUGGGACUGAGACACGGCCCAGACUCCUACGGGAGGCAGCAGUGGGGAAUCUUGCGCAAUGGGCGAAAGCCUGACGCAGCGACGCCGCGUGAGGGAAGAAGGCCUUCGGGUUGUAAACCUCUUUCAGGAGGGACGAAGCCACUCGGGUUAAUAGCCCAGAGGGUGACGGUACCUCCAGAAGAAGCCCCGGCUAACUACGUGCCAGCCGCCGCCGUAAUAC